UCUUUUGGUCCGGAUUAUACGUCCGCCGAACUUGAACACACAAAGAGGAAUAUGCCGUGAACAAGAAACGGUAGUCGGCAUUUUAGACACGUAUAUUUUACAGACCCAAAAUAUGCCUUAUUUCUUUGUAUUAUAGCUAAUUAUGGUAUAAAUAAUUAAUUAAUUACUUUGCAAUUUUGCUUCUAAUACUAUUAUAGUUGUAUUUUAAUGAAACAUAAUAGUAUUAAAACAGUUUUCUUCUUUUGAAAAAAUUUAUUGCUAGUCCUGUUUCUAAUUGACUUUACUUGUGUAUUUUAAGCUUUUUUGUUGCUGUGCUUUUUCUGGAGAUUUUAGUUGGAUUGGAAAGCUCCUGUGUAAGGUACCCUUUCCUAAAGAAAAUUGAAGUAAUUUGUACAAUUAUAACGCGCCGAGCUGUGUUUUAUUUUAUUGUUUCUAGGAGGAUGUAAGAAUACAAUAUUAUCAAUUUUAAUUGGUUUUAUCCAAAUCAAGAUUGUGUACAAUGGGAGUGAGUGAUGUAAUCUUCUAAUGCGUGUGGUGAAAAGAAGGCGAAUCCGUUAUUGUUUUUCUGCCCAAAUUUGAAGCUAUUUAAUAAAUCUUGAUAAAGUUAAAAAACUGUUUUGAUUUGUUUGUUUUUGUUUUAAUUGUUUCCCGUGAGUUUUCGAAAUUCGUUCCAGCAGAUUCUGUGGCUUCUACUGCCGGUAUUUUUACGUGAAAAAAAUA